CCACAAGAAAUGCCGGGAAGAACUGUAAGUUUAUUAAACUAGCUGUAGCCGCGGCUUCACUCGCGUCCUUUAAAUAGUCCAAAUUACAGUGAACUGUUCACUCCUUUCACUCGCGUUUCGGGGGCCUUUGGUUUCGGAAGGCACACACGACACUGAGGGUGCAGAACUUCACCCUUUCGAGUUCUUUUUUAAGAGUCCGGGACGCACACGCGUGAUGUGUGUCUAGCUCGGAGUUCGUUCCCGAAUGAUCGCCGCAGAAGAGGUUCAAGAAAUAGCAACGAAAGCCGCUGUUCUCAUGCAUACGAAUAAG